GAGGAGCUUGCUCUUCUUGGAUGAGUUGCGAACGGGUGAGUAACGCGUAGGUAACCUGCCUGGUAGCGGGGGAUAACUAUUGGAAACGAUAGCUAAUACCGCAUAAAAUUGAUUAUUGCAUGAUAGUCAAUUGAAAGGUGCAACUGCACCACUACCAGAUGGACCUGCGUUGUAUUAGCUAGUUGGUGGGGUAACGGCUCACCAAGGCGACGAUACAUAGCCGACCUGAGAGGGUGAUCGGCCACACUGGGACUGAGACACGGCCCAGACUCCUACGGGAGGCAGCAGUAGGGAAUCUUCGGCAAUGGACGGAAGUCUGACCGAGCAACGCCGCGUGAGUGAAGAAGGUUUUCGGAUCGUAAAGCUCUGUUGUAAGAGAAGAACGAGUGUGAGAGUGGAAAGUUCACACUGGAC
rnacentral:rRNA from 1 species